rnacentral:rRNA from 1 species
UACGUAGGGGGCUAGCGUUGUCCGGAAUCAUUGGGCGUAAAGCGCGUGUAGGCGGCCUUGUAAGUCCGUUCUGAAAGCCCGGGGCUCAACCCCGGGAGGCGGAUGGAUACUGCAAGGCUCGAGUCCGGAAGAGGCAAGUGGAAUUCCCGGUGUAGCGGUGAAAUGCGCAGAUAUCGGGAGGAACACCAAUGGCGAAGGCAGCUUGCUGGGACGGUACUGACGCUGAGACGCGAAAGCGUGGGGAGCAAACAGG